rnacentral:rRNA from 1 species
UACGGGGGGGGCAAGCGUUGUUCGGAAUUACUGGGCGUAAAGGGCUCGUAGGUGGCCAACUAAGUCAGACGUGAAAUCCCUCGGCUUAACCGGGGAACUGCGUCUGAUACUGGAUGGCUUGAGUUCGGGAGAGGGAUGCGGAAUUCCAGGUGUAGGCGGUGAAAUGCGCAGAAUAUCAGGAGGAACACCAACGGCGAAGGGCAGCACUCUGGGCCGGUACUGACGCUGAGGAGCGAAAGCGUGGGGAGCGAACAGGA